GCGAAAACUUUACAAUGCUGGCAACAGCGAUAAGGGAACCUCGAGUGCCAGGUUACAAAUCUGGCUGUCGAGAUGCCUAAAAAGCAUUCCAUAGCAAGGGCCGGGCAAGACCGGUGCCAGCCGCCGCGGUAACACCGGCGGCUCGAGUGGUAACCGUUAUUAUUGGGUCUAAAGGGUCUGUAGCCGGCCGGAUAAGUCUCUUGAGAAAUCUGGCAGCUUAACUGUCAGGCUUUCAGGAGAUACUGUCUGGCUCGAGGCCGGGAGAGGUGAGAGGUACUUCAGGGGUAGGCGUGAAAUCUUGUAAUCCUUGAAGGACGACCAGUGGAGAAGGCGUCUCACCAGAACGGACCUGACGGCAAGGGAGGAAAGCUAGGGGCACGAACC
rnacentral:rRNA from 1 species